rnacentral:lncRNA from 1 species
GGGAUGUGGGCUAUGAAAGAAUAGUAGUGAGCUUGUGGUGUUGAUGUGAACUAAAUUUGCCGUUCCUCUACCUUAUGGCUUUGUUCCCAACGUCAUAAGAUUGUGACAGAGAAUGGUCCAGAGUACAAGCAACUAUCCUGUCGAUUAGUUCUAGGCCCGGCUGCGCAUCAGAGGUAUAAAAAAGUGUUUAUUAGGAACGCUUUCCUGGGUAUCAACAUUAUUAGGGUCCCUAAUUGAUUCGUUAAAAAAUUCCAAGGUAAUCGAAAGGAGAUGCACUAUUUGAAGAAAAUUUUCUUUCUUUCCCAGUUGAUAGUUGAUAUAUUCUGAGAUGCACUAGUUUAUAUAUAUAUAUAUAUAUAUAUAUAUAUAUAUAUAUAUAUAUAUAUGGUCGAAUUUUUCGAGGAUAGUUUGUUGUACUUCAUCUCAGUAAAAUAAUCAGAUUUUUUUUGGUUAUCUUAUUAGUUCAAAGUUGAAUUGUUGGUGCCUAGCUAGUCUGAGACUUAUGUUCUUCGGUACCUGGAGUAUUUUACCAAGGCUUGAGUGAUACAUUUGUACUAGGUUAUUAUAUAUAAUGGUCUUGGUCGAAUUUUUCGAGGAUAGUUUGUUGUACUUCAUCUCAGUAAAAUAAUCAGAUUUUUUUUAUUAUCUUAUUAGUUCAAAGUUGAAUUGUUGGUGCCUAGCUAGUCUGACACUUAUGUUCUGCCGUACCUGGAGUAUUUUACCAAGGCUUGAGUGAUACAGUUGUACCAAAUGUUUAAGGAGUGUAAAUGCCUCUGAAUUUUAUUUACAACAUCGGCAGGAUUGUUAGUUAUUAUGUCAUGAAAAUGCACAUCCAGAUUCAAUCUGUAAUACUAGAAGAACAGGCCAAAAUAAAUACUAGAAGAAAAUAAAACAAAAAUCUGUUAAAAUUUGGAUGUAAUUGAUAGAAAAAAGGAGGCACUAUUCAAAAAACUUGUAUUUUUUUCAUUUGGUAGUUGAUAUAUAUAAUGGUUGAAUUUUUGGGGUGUAGUUUGUUGUACUUUAGUAUCUCAUUAAACCAUCAGUUUUUUCUGUAAUUAUUUUCUUUGUGUUUCGAGAUUGGUAUAGUGGUAUCCUAUAAAGGCUUUGAGAUUGGUCACGUAUAUGUGAUAUAUUAGACGUGUUCGCGGCCAUUAGUAACUAAUAGAUUUCACCUUCUUGUCAUUUGGAGGGCUCCAUCAACAUCAACAACAUUAAUUAGUUUGAUAAAUUACAUCUUGGCAUUUAAAGGGCUCUGUCAAACAUUGGUGGGCUAGUAGAACCAGCAUGAAUAUUCCAUAUAGAAAAGCUAUGGCCUCGCCCGCUUCCGGCACAAAAGUGUGCUGCCCCCAAUAGUCCUCAACAUCAUCGCGGAGGAGGCCCAGCUAUGGGUUACCAUGGGUGCAAAGAAGCAUGGGAAAAUUGUAUUGCACGAGAAAUUGUCAUGCGGUGUUGUAAGGGAUGAUUGUAAAACUCUAUUCUCAGACAAAUAUUUUGCCCCCAUUUUAAAAAUAUAUAUAGAUCACACAACAAAAGAACAAAUGUUGUUUACCUUGAAGAAAAUUACAGAAAUGGACAGGCAGUGUUUGUACUUUCUUUGAUUUCGAAGAGAUAAGCAUCAUUAUUAUUUUUUGUGUGUGAGAAAGGAAAGAUAAUAUUAUUUUUUAUUAGGCUGUGCAUGAGUUUGUUCUUUUUCUCGAAUCAAUAACUCGGGUAAGACUAUGAAAAUACAUCACACACUGUGAAAAUAGAAACUGGUUUGAUAAGAUAGACACCUAAUUGAACCUUAAAUUUGAUUUCCGAUGGGAUGGAGGUACCACCAUCUUCACUAAUUAACUACCUAUUUUUCAGAAACCACUAACUAUAUAGUUUGUGCUUGGUUUUCACCUAGGCUGUGUGAAUGCGACCUUGUAUUGAUGCCUAUGUCACCAACCAUUGUAACUUGCUCAUCUAAUAAUAUAUAAAACUCUCAUCUUGUUCAUCAUAUUCCGUUUAGGGGUCAUUCACAUUUUUUUUAAUUUUCUUAAGAAAUUAGGCAGUUUUCAAUUAAGUUUAACUAGAUUAGCAUCAUUACAAGAUUACUGAUAUAGUGUUGCCAUGGCUUCUGCAAUGACAGCUCCUGGUCUAGAUAUGGAGGCCUUGACCGGGCGACGGGGGAGGACCCUCGGGUUGGGCCGGCCACCUUAGAGCAACUCUAGCAGACCCCGCAAAACGCCGGCCCGCAAAACGCGUUUGCAGUUCGCGUAAAACAGCUUUUGCGGACGGCGCGGGCUGGCAUAGAUGCAGACCCCCCAAACGGAUCCGUAAAAAAGUAUAUUCGCGGAAUAUGCUUUUUUAUGGGUCGGCUAUGCGGGUUCUGCUCUUUGCGCCGCUGCAUCCCCGCAUAUCAUCAGCCCGCAAAUAUCAAAUCCAACAUAAUUCAACAAUCGAAAACAAACUGAAUUAUUCAAAUCAAAUAUAAAACAAUAAUCAUCCGCAUUACAAAUAAUUAUUCAAAUCACCGUAGCAAACUUAAAAUAAUGCAAUACAAAACUUGUCAUGAAUACAAAUACAAAUGAAUACAAAAAUUAGUCACUGUCCAGCCCUUUGUCAAUGGUGCUCAAUGAGAACUUCCUGAAGCUGAAAGUGUGUGUUUGCAUUUUCAAUCUCCUUGUAUGAAUGAAGAAAAGCUCUAAUGCGGUUUGGGUCUCUAGUUGGUUUGACACGGCUACCCACAUUGUCGUAAAAGUUCUAAGUCCAUUCCUCUCUCAUCUUUAAGAAUCAUAUUGUGCAGGAUAACACAGCAAGUAAUGAUGUUCUUCAGGGUUUUCUUAUCCCAAAAACGAGCAGGACCACGGACAAUGGCAAACCUAGAUUGCAAAACACCGAAUGCUCUUUCAAUGUCUUUUCGGGCUGCCUCUUGCACCCUUGCAAAUUCACAUUGUUUUUUUGUUUUGGGUUCUUUGAUGCUCUCGACAAAUGUGCACCAAGGAGGAUAUGUACCAUCUGCAAGAUAGUACUCCUUUGUGUAUUCAUGCCCAUUGAUAGUGUAGUUGCAAGCAGGAGCAUCACCACUAGCAAGCCUAGCAAACAAAUGAGAGUGUUGCAACACAUUGAUAUCAUUGAGUGUGCCGGGCAUACCAAAAAAGCAAUGCCAAAUCCAUAAAUCCUCGGAUGCUACGGCCUCUAGCACAAUUGUUGCAUCACGAGACUUGCCACAAUACAUUCCUUGCCAAGCCUUGGGGCAAUUUUUCCAAUUCCAAUGCAUACAAUCAAUGCUACCUAGCAUCCCAGGCCAACCUCUCAUCUCAUUAGCUGCCAUCAAUUUCUUUGUGUCAUCUUCAUUUGGUGCCCGAAGAUACUCGGGACCAAAGACACGGACGAUCACUUUCGCAAAUCUACAUACAGACUCAAUUGUGCUAUCUUCACCAAUGCGAAGAUACUUAUCGGCAUAGUCAGCCGGAAUGCCAUAUGCAAUCACCCGCAUAGCCGCGGAGAUUUUUUGAUAUGCACUAAAUCCCUUUAAGCCCGCGGCAUUCCUUCUUUGAGUGAAAUACCGGCAAUUUGCCUCGCAAGCUUCACAAUUUUCACAAAAAGGGAUCGGCGCAUUCGGUACCUUCUGCGGAAGAGGUGUGCAGGAUAUGUAGGAUUCUCCGAAAAACAAUCGUGCAUCAACAUCUCGUUUCCAAGAUGGCGAUUCCGCGGAAUGCACAGACGCCCGACAGUAGAUCCUCGCCUCCUCUUUCGGUACUCGUCUUCAUGCUCCUUCACGGCAAGCGCCAUGACCAAUGUUUGCUACCGAAAGGUCGCAAGCAUGGUCUCCACAUCCGAGUCGUCCGAAUCGGACGAAUCGGAUAGCAAGAACUUCUCGCACUGGGUCAACUCCAUCUACACGCACACCGGCGCGUCAAUCUACUACACAGCUCGCAAAAAUCAGAAAAAAGGGACUAACCGGUGGCAAGUGAUCCCGGGCGGCGACGAGGGUGGUGCGCUCGACGGUGGUCGAUCCCAGCGGCGGCAGUGACUGGGGGGCGGCUCUUCUUGCCGGAUCCGGAGGGGCGGUGCAGCGGCUCGGCGCGGGAGGGUGUGGGGCGGCCCCGCGGAGCGAUUCCGCCCGCGGAUAUGGCCGGAAUCACCGGCGGCGGGCGGACGGAAGCAAGGGCGGGCGGCGGCGGAAGGAGGGGGAAAAGAGCGCGGGCUGAAAUGUCCCUCCCACCAACUGCUUCUCUGUGAUGCAGGGCACUGCAGCCGCGAGGGGGAAACCCGCGUUUUCCCGGGUUGGGGUCGGGAAUUUGCCGCGCCCCCUAAAAUUUUUUGCGGGCCGGGGCGGGAUGCGGGGUCUGGUCGGGCAGGCUUUCCGGCCCGUACCAGCAUUUUGGCGGUUAUUUUACGGAUCGGCAGGGAGUUUCUUGAACUAGAUGAUAUCUCGCGUUGCCAUGGAAUGAAAUAUACAAUUUUGUAAAUAUUGUGUAGAAUAUUAAUUUUGUCCUUACGAUUUAAACUAGUAUGUGAUAAAUUUCUACAUCCGCAAGAAAUUCUUAACAGGAAAAGUUGUGCAUGUCACAAUUAAAUGUAGGUGCAUUUAAAACUCAAUUAGAAUGCACUCAUGCAUGACAUGAUAGAGGAUUCUCAUGCAUAGAUCGAAGGGAUGCUAGUGGAUCAAGUUAGUAAAUCUAAUGCUUAUCACAAUUUUUAUAUUGUGGAAGCACACAUUGCUGAGAUAAUUAGAAGCUUUUGCUAUCACUCACUGUGUGUGUGUUUUUGAGUUAUCAGCUUUUUCUAUCACUCCCAGUUUUUUUUAGGGGAUCACUCUCAGUUAUAUCAGGUGAAGGCUAACGUGACACAGCCCAGGGCCCAGGCCCAGUUAGAACACGACUCAGCAGUUCAGAAAGUGCGUAAACGCUCUCCGAAGGCGGAAAACGCCUCCUAUCUCCUCUCCUCCGCGACCUCUCUCUCCAUGGCCGCCAAGAGGAAGCUCCGCAGGUCGUCGGCGGUGGCUGCUCCAACAGCGCCGAAGGCGAAGGAAGACGAAGCGGAGAGGCUGUUCUCCUCGCGCCCCUUCGCCGACCUCGCCCUCCACCCCACCCCCUACGCACGCCCCCAAGGUCUCUCCCUCCCCCCUCUCCGAUUCCCCGUAUCUCUGUGGCCCUAGUGAUUUGGUAGUCCCCUCGGGAACCAGGAGCUCGCGUCUUUUUUGAGAAAAAUCUGUACAUAUGGUUUUUCAAAUUUCUAAUCCGGAUGGUUAAGAUUAUGCUCCUAGUUUAAAAUUUUAAAAGUUUUGACUGAAGACACGUCCAGAACGUCACUUAGAUGUGAUAUGGAGAGAGUAAUAUGUGAACAUUAGUGCAUUCUAUUGGAUUCUUUCAUAGGAACCUUGUUUAUAUUAAUACAAGUGCAAUUGCUUCAAAUCAGAAAUGAGAAUCCUCUGAUCUUCCAUAUCGCCAGUUUUGAAAUAUUCUACUGUAAUUUACAGCAAAUCCAGUGCCCAGGUAUGGUAGUAUUUCCACUAGUCUCAUGUCUUGUAGGCCCUACACACAGACCAAAACAAUAACCAAGUACACAUAGUUAAAAGAACACCAGCUUCACUUACAGAGCACUUCCCAGACCACUUUGUUCAAAAAUUAAAUAGAGCGGCAGAAGCAAAGCAUUGCACAGUUGCCUUUUGCUACAUAUGGCCGUGAAGUUGCGCAGUUGGACCAAAUCAAAGCAUGUUAAAUAUCAGCACUCAAAUCACCAUCCCAUCUUAUUCCAAGAUAUACUAGCAUAAAGUACUGUUAUGUUGAGAAUCGUGCAAGCAGCUACAGAGGCGGUAAGUUGCCGAUAUGUUUAUGCACUUGAUAAACUGUUCGAAUCUUACUGACCAUCAUAUUUUUCAUCAGGUUUCCAUUUAGAUAUAGCAUACAUCACUCUCCCUUUCCAUCCUUGUAGCAGCCAGCCGCAAUCUUCGACAGAGAAGAAUUCUUCAUGAUAAUGUAAGUUCUUCAUGUGUACUAUGUUCUUUAAGAUGGCUUGAUCGACAGGAAGCUGCUGAAACCCUGCCUUGAGGCACCUUGCUUGCCACUGCCUGUAACUUUCUGGCCUCUGAGUCCUUUCUGCAUCCUCACAUGCUAUUAUGUUAAGGGCAUCCCGCCCAAAUGGGAUCCUCUCAAGCAUCUUUCUUGCCUCAUUAUCCCAUGGAACAUUUGCAUCCAGCAUGUCAAACACUGAAGAGUAAUGGAGCAUAACUUCUUUGAAUCGUUGUAUGAAGAAGGGAGAACUAUGUAACACGUUCACAGUGCCAGAAAUAAAAACCUUUGGGUUCAUCCUCCUCAUAGUUUUCAGCACCUCGUCCCUUGCACUAUUUAUGCCAUCGGUUUCAUGACCAAGAUUCUUCAUCCGGAAUAUGCAGUUGAUUAUGAGAACUUCAUCCUCAUCAAUGUUAAGAUCCUCAAUUUUAAUGGUGUCCCAUCUUGCAGCGGCAAUGCCCUGAUACUGAAAAGGUACCUUGAACAUGUUUGCAUAAUCAGCCAACCGUUUCCCUGUCUCCUCGAUCAUUUCGCAGGGGCGAAAACCUGGCUGAGAAACGUCUAUACCUGUGAUCCGAAGCUUGGGGGCUCCCUCUUCUUGCUGUGCAAACUUCUGAAUCAUUAAUGGCCACUGAAAGCCAUAGCCGAUGCCAAAAUCAAUGAUGUGCACCCUUUGUUGCCCUUUUGAGACAUCAAGAAUAGCUUGGCUCGCAAAGUAGUAUGACGUCCUGACAAAAGGGCAAGCUGCAACAAAAAGGCUGUAAGCCUCUAACCAAUCUGUGGGACUUGUUCGCCUCUCGAUGAGGGUGCGAUAAACCUGACUCCCGCUCCCAGCCAAGCGUGCCUCAAGGCCAUCCGCCAAGUAAAAUGCCAGUCUCUCAGUGCAAUCACCAUCUGCUGAAGAGUGUUGUCUUAUCUUCAAUAGCAGUUCACUGGCCAACAGGUAGCUGUCUUCUGCCACAGCUUGUGCGCAAUGGAUAAGGAGAGUCCUGAGAUCAACCAACUCUUUCCUCGGUUGCAUCCUAGCCCUUAGCUUCUGACGUCCUUUGCUCCGGCCUUUCACUGAGUUAUUAUUUCCUUUCUCCGCCAUCGUUUCUUGUAGUCUUGUUGUUUGGUCGAAAGUCUUCCGACCAUAGCAUAGCAGAACUCGGUCGAAAUUUUCAUUUCGAGUUAUUGCACAAGUGGUGAAGACAAGAUGUUUGUUGCUCCUUGCUUCCAAGAUAUCCCAGUUUUCGCUCCUCUGGCCUACUGUCUCCUUUAUAGUCAGUUUGGAAAUAGAAAGUAUGUCAUUCUCUAAAUAUAUCACCAGCUUACCAAUACGUGGAGCAAACAUUGUUGCCUCCUCGACAUCUCUCUGACAAUGGAAGGCAGGGAAACUAGAUCUAGAAGUCGGUCCAACACUUAUCGACGGACUGUUUAGAGAAAGACUCCUAUUGCAGGUAUAUGGACUCAACAGGUUUGUUAAGGGCUGUAACACGCUGUAACUGGAACAGUUAUUACUGAAGCUUGUGCUCCAGAGCCUCUUGUAACUGCUGGUACCACUCUUAUCAGGGUUUUCUGGUUUGUUGUUGCUAUGCAUUGGCGGACAGUUAGUAGCUGGCGCGUAUACCUCCCCAAGAAUGUCACGGAAUGGCUUCUCAGCAGCCUGGAGAGCAGCCUCCCCUUGGCAUAUGUCGACCCUCUCGUCGACGUCAUCCAUCAGCAUGUGGCUUAUGUAGUGAAGGGCAUCAUUUGAUCUGAUCCGGCGGUGCUCAGGGCUGCCCCCUGUAGCAAUCUGAAAUUGGGUUUGUCCAAGGCUGCUGUUGACCCUGCACAACCCAGGGCUGGUGACUCCACCAAGCACACAUGUGCUUUCUUGGUUGGCUGGGGAAAGAACUGUGGAGUGUGGAUCUCUCAGGUCAUAGUUGUAGACGGCGAGUUGCUGCUGGGAAGAGGAAUCACCGUCGUAUGGUUGGUCGGUUGCUGCGACGGUGUCCAGAUUGUCACGGAGAGGUUCAGUUGCCAUUGUGGAAAGUCUGAUUUCCACCACAAUAUGAGAUAUAUGAUGCUUCUUUGCCCCACAGCAAAUGAAUCAGCUUGUUUCCUGGACGAAGAAAAAAGGGAAAUGGAAACUUAUGUAUGUGAGACGAAUUUCCGUAAAAUGGAGUUCUGCUCAGCGAGCUCCUUUUUUCCCCCUCACCCUCUGCUUCUUCCUUUUUAUUAGAUAUUCAACUUAGGAUUGUUUUAGCAUUCCAUGCUAAUUGAAAAAAAUAAAUCUGAAGGCUUGCAGACACCAGAAUACCUAUUUUAGAUGCUGAUUGAAUUAUCAUGCCUAAAGCGAUUUUGAAUCUACGAUACGCCUGAUACCACUGUUCCUUUUUAUUUGCAGGAGGCUGCUCAUCUGAUCUAAGCAAGUAGCAAAAGUAGGAAAGCACGCACCUUGGUUACUGAGCAGCAUCAUCAGCAUCAGAUCCAAUGCUUAGAGAGAAGAGUAACGAGGAUGUGGACUAUGGAAGAAGAGUAGUGAGGUUGUGCUGUUGAUGUGAGCUAAAUUUGUCGUUCCUCUACCUUAUGGCUUAGUUCCCAAUGUCAUGAGAUUGUGACGUUGAAUGGUUCAGGUUACAAGCAAUUAUUCGGUCGAUUAGUUCUAGGCCCGGCCGCGCACCAGACCUAUAAAAAAGGGUUUAUUAGGAGCGCUGGCCUGGGCUUCAGUCAUUAUUAAGGUCCCUACUUGAACUGUUAAAAAAAGCAGAUGCACUGUUCAAAGAAAUUUGUCCUUCUUUUCCACUUGAUGUAUAUCAUGAAUAGCAUUUAGCUGGUAUUCAAAGAAAAAAGAGGGCACUAUUAAAGAAACUUGUAUUGUUUUUCAUAUGAUAGUUGAUGUAUGUGAUGGCUGAGUUUUUGGAGGGUAGUUUGUUGUACUUUAUCUCAUUAUACCAUCAGACUUUUUUCGUAACUAUUUUCUCUGCAUUUUGAGAUUGGUAUAGUGGUAUAAAGCUUUGAGAUUAGUUUGUACUAUGUGAUAAAUUAGAUGAGUUACCACCAUCUUCACUAACUACCUAGUUUGUAUUUGGUUUUCGCCUAGGCCCUGCCAAUGCGACUCGUCAAGAGGGGUGGGAGCUCGGAGGUCGGCAUCACCUAGGGAGACUACUCGACGGCGCACUAUGUUUCGCCCUAGGCCAAGAUCGGGAGGGGAGGGGAGGGGCAGGAUGAUGGAUUGAGGAGCGAGGUGCGGGAAGGGUAGCAUCGCCCAGACCCCAGAGUCGUCGCAUAUUUUUAUGAUGGACACGUGGACUGUCCGUCAAGGAAUGAACAAGACGCCUCCAAUUUUGCUCCCAGAGUAACGGGAACGGGACCGGCUUCUAUACCGUGCCGCUGGGCAUGGGAGUGCCGUGCCUUCUUACGCCCAACGUGUGCAUUGAUAUGGGCCAGAAGGGCCUUGAACAUCCAGCCUGGCGCAUCCGACUCCGACGAACAAGAAUAACGGGGACAAUUGAUUUGACAACCAAAAUCAGUGAUGUCGUGAGAGAGCUCCUAUGGUGCACGGUUAUAAUGUUUCUAAAUGUCACCAACUAUUGUAACUUGUUCAACCAACAUAUAGAACUUACACCUUGUUCAUCUAAUUCCAUUUAGGGGGCAUUCAGACACACACAAAAGAUGUCAUUUUGUUAGAAAAUUACGUAGUUUUUGGUUAAGCUUAAUCUAAAUUAGCACCAUUAGAAGAUUCUUGGCAUGCCAAAUAACAUACUAGGAACAUUUAACAUAUAUGCAUACGAGCCAGAGGCACAUGUCAACAGAGAGAGAUUUAGAAGAGACAAGUUAACCGGAAACUCCAUUACGACAGACGUAGUUUCGAAGGCCUGUUCUCCCAGGCGACUGUGAGCAUAGUGCCAGAAAGGGGUCGCUGGAGAAGCAACUCAACACAAGUGUGUGUCCUAUUCUGUGUACCCUAUCGCCUUUGUAUUUCCUCUACCUAGAGAGGAUGCGAGGAGAGUGCAUAGAUGCAACUAUAGGGUCUAACACAUUUUUUGUGGUUGCCUUUGACCACUAGCUAUAGCAACAAUAUAUGAUGUGCAUGUCACAAAAAAAUUUAGCAUUAAAUUCGUAUAUGAAAAUAUUUUCUAAUGAUAUAAUUUUUAUAGCUAUAAUACAUCUCAUAUAUUAUUAAUUUUAUCAAUUGUCAGAGGCAACCUCGAACAACAUAUUAGAUGCUAUAUAUUUGUAUGGAAGUAGUAUUAAAGUUACACAUUAGCCAUGCAAUUCACACUAGUACAAAACAGGGCUUUCGUCAUAGGGCAAUAUUCACAUUAGUCCCGGUUCAGUCACGAACCGGGACUAAUGUGAGUAUUGGUCCCGGUUCGUGCGGCUAAGGCAUUAGUCCCGGUUCACCUGGGCCCUUUAGUCCCGGUUGGUGCCACGAACCGGGACUAAAGGGUGCGAUGCCCAUUAGUACCGGUUGGUGGCACCAACCGGGACUAAAGGUUAGACCUUUAGUCCCGNNNNNNNNNNNNNNNNNNNNNNNNNNNNNNNNNNNNNNNNNNNNNNNNNNNNNNNNNNNNNNNNNNNNNNNNNNNNNNNNNNNNNNNNNNNNNNNNNNNNNNNNNNNNNNNNNNNNNNNNNNNNNNNNNNNNNNNNNNNNNNNNNNNNNNNNNNNNNNNNNNNNNNNNNNNNNNNNNNNNNNNNNNNNNNNNNNNNNNNNNNNNNNNNNNNNNNNNNNNNNNNNNNNNNNNNNNNNNNNNNNNNNNNNNNNNNNNNNNNNNNNNNNNNNNNNNNNNNNNNNNNNNNNNNNNNNNNNNNNNNNNNNNNNNNNNNNNNNNNNNNNNNNNNNNNNNNNNNNNNNNNNNNNNNNNNNNNNNNNNNNNNNNNNNNNNNNNNNNNNNNNNNNNNNNGGACCGCCUUUUCAGUUUUAGAAAAAACAAAAGAAAAUGAUGGAAAUGUCAAAAAAAUAAAGUAAAAUAAGUUUCCCAUGUGAUAUGUGGUCUAGUUGUUGGAAAAAUUUACAAAUAUGAAUUUCGACUUUAUUUGCAAAAUCUCUCUGGAAUUUCUUAAAAUGGCCAUAACUUUUGCAUACGAACUCGGAUGAAAAAGUUUUUUAUAUGAAAAAUCAUCUACUCGAAAAGUUACAUCCAAAUUUAACCGGGGGGAACCCCGUUAAACAUUUUCAAAAUCCUCAAAAACCUAAUAGAAAAAAGUUACGGGGCUUUUAAGAUCUGGAGAGGCACAAAAAUUCAAAAAAAUUCAAAUUGUGGUCAAACUGUGGUCAAACAAUGGUCAAACUAAUUAUUCUAGAAUAUUAGUGUUACUAAAUAAUUAUUUCAGUUUUUUUGAAUUUUGGUCAAUCUGGUCAAACAGUGGUCAAACAAUGGUCAAACUAAUUAUUCCAGAAAUAUUAGUGUUACUAAAUAAUUAUUGUUUUUAAAACAAUAGUUUCAAACUCAAACAGUGAAAUGUGUCACUUCAUGCUCAAGCUAAAUUCCUGAGGGUUAAUAGAAUUGACAUCUUACUAUUGUCAGAAAAACAACAAGUGCUGACUUGGAAACGAGGGAGAAUAGAACCCGGAAGUUAAGCGUGCUCAGGCUGGAGUAGUGAGAGGAUGGGUGACCGCCCGGGAAGUUAGAUGAUUUGGAAUGAUGAGGGGUGAUUAGAGAUUAGAGGAUAAAUUGAGCAGUGAUGAGGGGUGGUGAUUAGAGAUUAGAGGUUAAAAUAACUCAGAAAUUUGAAAAUCAAAAAAAAAUUCGCAAAAAAAAAUUUCAAAAAAAAAUAUCAUAAAAUUGGACUAAAGGGGGGAGGCAUUAGUAACGACCCUUUAGUCCCGGUUCAAAAACCGGGACUAAAGACCCUUACCAAUCGGGACAAAAGCCCCCUUUUCUACUAGUGUCAAAUGGGCUUUUGAGAUUUCAGAAUUCUUCUGGGCUGAGGCACAAGAUUUAAUGGACCGAGGCCCAUGAAAUCUAACCCAAAUAAGGGACAUAGAACAGUAGGGGCUCCGUUUCAAAAAACAGGAACAGUAGGGGCAUCUACGUUCAUACUCCCCAUGCCCCAUAAUAUAGCUACGCAUUGAUUUUCGCGUAAGUCAAGAGUCACAAACUUUGAUCAAAUUUAAAGAGAAAAUUAUCUAUAUCUACAAUACCAAAUAUACAUCAUAUGAAAAUAUAUUUCCUUAUCAAUCUAGUGGUAUUUAUUUAGUAUUCUACAUCUUUGUAAAUUUUCUAAAAACUUGAUCAAAUCUUAUAUUGUUUGACUUUAGGAAAAAAGUCUAUACACACUGUGUUUUGGGAUGGAGGGAGCAUCAUGGAAGUGGGUGUGAUUCUUAUGUUUUCUUUGAGGGGGGCAGGGUCUAUUUUUUCAUGAAUGAGUUCUGGCGUCAUCGGGUGGGCCUAACGUGACACAGCCCAGGGCCCAGGCCCAAUCAAAACAUGACUUGACACUUGAGCAGGUGCGUAAACGCUCUCCGAACUUGGAAAACGCCCCUCUAUCCUUCAUUCACACUGCUUCAAGUGAACCCAAACGUAUGUACACGGCUGUAGGUGAAACCUUCAGCCAUGGCCUAUUUCCUUAUUAGUAUCGUCGUUGUUAUCAUCUCUUCGAUUGAUCAGGGAGGCCGAAACAUUUUGAGACAACAAGUUCUUGAAGAAAUCUCCUUGCCAAGCAACACUUCAUGUGGUACCAUAACCUACGGUCUCUAUGAAAGAAGGCUAUACUUACAUCCCAAACCGGAUCAAAGGAAAUCAAAUUUCUAAAAGCUCACCAAAUAAUUGAACGUUUCGACAAGGAUAUAUUUUUGAAAGUCCACCUACAUUUUUCUGAAACCUAGGCGGAAAAUGUGUUGAAAGUUGUCUUAGUUGGAGGUCAAAAAAUGGAAGUUUUCUAUGUUUAUUUGAAAUUUUAGAAUAUUACCAGAAAGGAAACAUUGGGGAGGGAAGACACCUGCCCGAAAUGAAAAAAAAAUUGAAAAUUACUAGGUGGGCAAUGUGUUCAGAUUUUCAUAGAUGGGUGUACAAAAAUACAAGUUGAUAUAUUAUUGGAAAUUUGAGAAUAUUUCCAAAAAAGGAAAUAUUGGGGAUGAAAGGCACCUGCCCAGAAAACUAAACAGUGUGCACGAAAUGUUGGGGAGAAAAGAAAUACUGCAUGAAUUUGUUGUUGAAAGUUGUCUUAACUGGAAGCCAAAAAAUGAAAAUGUAUAAAUUAUUGUUGAAAUUUGAGAAUAUUUCCAUAAAGGAUAUAUUUUAGUGACGAAAGAUACCUGCUUAGAAACACUAAAUAUUGGGGUGAAAAAAUACUAGGUGAAAAAUGUACUGAUAGUUUUCUAAACUGGAUGUUGUCUACAUUUUGAAUUGAUUUAAUUCGUAUACGAAAAUAGUUUCUAAUGAUAUAAUUUUUAUAGCCACCAACGGCUCAUAUAGUCCCUCCCUCUCUUCAAGUUUAUUGGGCUCAUCUUACAAAUUACAUCAACCAAGAAGGACCUACUUAAGUGUUAUACAACAUAUUAAUACUAUACGCAUGGCCCUCUCACUCCUUCAUGUAUUGGUUUAUUCUAAAUUGAGAAUACAAAUUUGACAAAAUUUAAUGUGUAUAUAGUUAUAUUUGCAUGUUCCCAAGACAAUGAGCCUUACAAAUUGAAAAUUUCUACUUUUGAGGAAAGCUCUCUAAACUGAAAGGGAUGGAGUAUUAUUAAUUUUAUCAAUUGUCAAAGCCAACCUCAAACAACGUAUUAGGCGAUAUAUGUUUGGAUGGAUGGAGUAAUAAACUGCAUGUUGGUUUUCCCGAAAGUCAGGGGUCACAAAUUUUGACAAAGUUUAUAGAGAAAUUGAUCUUUUCUCAACAAAGGGUGGAUUUUAUUGGCUCAAAAUGGAGCAUCAAGAGGAUACACAAAUAAUGAGCACACACCCGGCCUCAGCAUAUUUAGGAUGCACGCAACCAAUACCAACGCGCACACACAAAAACACAGCAAAUAGCAAAGUCAUAUAAGGCCAAAGCUAUGCCUAGGAGAGGCAAAAAGAAAAAUAAUUAAAGUGAUCAGAUUCGUGGUCGAUAAACUACAACAAUGAACAUAUCCACAUAAACCAUCUCAUUGACACGACACAAAAAACGAGAUUCUUCAACAACAACACCUUCAGGAAGGGAGCGAUGCUCAAAAUGUCGCCAUCGCCGGAUCCAACCAUCUAAGGCUGGAAUCUAGAUAUUCACCCCAAAGAGUCAAUCUAAAUAUCUGAGUAAUGCCUUAAACUAGGUAAUGAAGUAAAACAUCACAAUAGCCAAGUAUAACCAACUCGGGUUAGAUUUAGGCUUUCACCCCGGAGCUUGAGACUGGGUACUUGAGUAGCACCAUCAUCAACGACAUUCAAGUGUUGCAGCCACCAUUUUUCCGCAAUCCCAGCAGCAACAAGCGAUGUACCACUACUGGCUGCACAACCAUCCCUCUAUGUCAAGUCAUCGCCCAUAGUUUGCAUGUCACCGCCAAAGUCAACCAUACGAACUGGAGGGAGAAACCCUCAUCAAGACCUUUCGACGGCCACAACAAUCCAUAGCAAGGCCGCCACCAUGGGCCGGAGUGGUUUCGGGCAAAGCCUCCUCAGCUCCAUCCACCAUGAGGGAUUUUUCUAGUGGCACAAAGGCAACAGCAAGAAGAGGGUGCAUGGAGGAGGGCGUUGGUGAAGUCGGCUUGGAGGCACCGCCCGUGUCACCAAGAGCGACGCGGGGGUUGACCCCUUUUUCUGGGCAUCUCCACUAUACGGUUGCAGUAGCGAAGGCCGUGAGCCACAUGCUCGGGCACCUUCGGUGGAUGAACAAUACAAGAGGAGGAAACCGGGAUGAGACUGGGCCUGCCCGGCGGAGACACCAGAUGAGAUCUAUGUCAGAUGGGGUGGGUGAUGGGGCUGAUGCGCCGGAGAGGACCCAUUGCCACCGACCACCGUGAGGGACUUUGCCCAGGUGGCCCUGGCCAGCGGCGAUGAGGGAGGGACAAUACGAGAGGGUACUAGAGAAGGAGUGGCGAUGCCACCACCCGUCUCGACCUCGAGGAUAAUGCGGGGACUAGGUUUCUCAAUGGGGUUACUGAGAGGAGACCUUACAAUUUGGGAGAGAAUUUCACUUCUCCUGGACUCUGCACCAACUAGAGAUAUACACUACCUUUUUAGUAUGAGUAUCAAGAUUUUUAUUAGUAUGAGUAUCAAGAUUUCACUUCUCCUGGACUCUUGCACCACACAUCAAGCAUGGUCCUCAAUAUAUUAUUUUUAUUAGUACAAAGAUUUUAUAUAGAUGAGUGGUCUCACCACAGACCACACAUCAAGUUUGAUUCUCAACAAAUGGGAAAAACCCAUGCGCAUCACCCAUCAAUUAUAGGAAUUGAACCCGGGUCGUUAGCCUGCACAAUCGCAUGCCUAACCACUAAGCUAGUGCUCUCUUGGAAGAGAAAUUGGUCUAUAUCUACAAUAGCAAAUAUACACCAUAAGAAAUAUAUUUCAUGAUGAAUUUAGUUCUAUUGAUUUAGUAUUCUACAUAUUUAUAAUUUUUUGAAAGAUUUGAUCAAAUUUAUCAUCCAACUUUGAAAAAAAAUCAAAUACAUAAUAUAUGUUGAAACAAAGGGGUAUGACAGAAGUGGGUAUGAUUCUUUUGUUUUCUGCGGGGGAAGGGGGAAUGUAUCUCAUACACCGACGCUUGUGGUGCUAUCGGGUGCACCGGAUGCCCGUAGCGCAUUUCAAAAUGUUUGAAAAAUAAUUAGCACAUUCACACAACAUCGGUCUAUGUUUUCAUCAAAUUUAAGCUCGAGGUAUAAAAGUAACAAAUCCGACAAUGAAUAGUACAUGACAUAAGUUGGGCUUUAGAUUUGGCCCGUUAUCACAUUGAUGUUAAAUUUGUCAUUUCUGUAUCCCGUGCAAUGUUUCGAAUUUUAAUAUGAAAUUUUAUGGCAACAUACAUUAAUGUUGUGUCAUUGUGUUAGAUUGUUUUCAGAUUUUUUUCUGAGACAUUUAAAAAUGCGGUAUGGUGUCCGGUCCACGGGUAGCGCCACAAAUGCAGAUGCAACAUUACAUUCCUGUGCCCAGGUGGGCCUAACGUGACACGGCCCAGGGCCCAGAGCCCAGGCCCAGUUAAAACAGGACCCAGGGUAAGUAAAUUCUCUCCGUAUGUCUAAAAAAAAGUAAAUUCUCUCCGUAGGCUGAAAAGAUGCCCAUCUCUCCUCUUGGAUCCUCCGCGACCUCUCUCUCCAUGGCCGCCACGAGGAAGCUCGGCAGGUCGCCGCCGGCGGCGGCGGCGUAGGAGAAGGAAGACGACACGGAGGGGAUCUUCUCUUGGAGCUCCUUGGCCGACCUCGGCCUGCACCACCCCACCGCCUGCGCCCGCCUCCAAGUCCAAGGUCCCUCCCUCCCCCCUCUCUGAUUCCCCGUGUCUCUGUCGCCCUGUUGAUUUCGUAGUGCCCUAGGGAACUAGGAGCUCAGCCCCUAAUCUCGUCCACGUAUUCUUUGUUUUUUUUUCGAGAAAAAAUAGUCUAUGCAUAUGAUUUUCAAAUUUCCAAUCUGAAUGAUUAAAAUGAUAUUCGUGGUUUAAGUAGAAGUUUGACAGAAGACAUGCCCAAAACGUCUCCCACCUAGUUGUGAUAUGCAGAGAGUAAUAAUAUGUCAACAUUAGUGCAUUAUAUUGGAUUCCAGUUUGGAUUAAGUCCGAUUGCCGUCUUCAAAUCAGAAAUGGCAGUCCUCUGAUCUUCCAUAUCGCCGGUUUUGAGACAUAUUCAGCAUAAUGAUUGUAAGACGUGUAGUGUCAAAAAAGGUCUUACAUUAUGGGAUGGAGGGAGUACUUUACAGCAAAUCCAGUGUCUAGGUAUGGCAUCUCCACUAAUCUCAUCAUAUCUAGUUUGUUCAGAAAUUAAAUAGAGCGGCAGAGGUAAAGUUGUACAGUUGCCUUUUGCUACAUAUGGACCAAAUCAAAACAUGUUGAAUAAUAUCAACAUUCGAAUCACCAUCCCACCUUCUUCCAAGCUAGCACUUCCCAAUACUCAUCUGACGAAAGAAUAUCCAUCUUCUGGUGUUCAGCAAUUUAGACCCGUUGUGUUGAGAAUCUAGUAGCUGCACAGGCGUGUGCACUUGAAAAACUGUUUGAAUCUUAUUAUUGAUCAUCAUUAGGUUUCCAUUUAGAUACAGCAUAAAGUACCCUCCCUUUCCAUCCUUGAAGCAGCCAGCCGCAAUCUUCUACAGCAAAGAAUUCCUGAUGAAACAGUAAGUUCUUCCUGUGUACUAUGUUCUUUAAGAUGGCUGGAUCGACAGGAAGCUGCUGGAACCCAGCCUUGAGGCACCUUGCUUGCCACUGCCUGUAUAUUUCUGGCCUCUCAGUUCUUUGUGCACCCUCACAUGCUAUGAUGUUAAGAGCAUCCUGCCCAAACAGGAUCCUCUCAAUCAUCUUUCUUGCUUCAUUAUCCCGUGGAACAUUUGCAUCAAGCAUGUCAAACACUGAAGAGUAAUGGAGCAUAACCUCUUUGAAACGUUGUAUGAAGAAGGGAGAACUGAGUAAACCAUUCACCGUGCCAGAAAUAAAAAUCUUCGGGUCCAUCCUCCUCAUAGUUUUGAGCACCUUAUCCCUUGCACCAUUUACGGCAUCGGUUUCAUGACCGAGAUUCUUCAUCCGGAACAUGCAGUUCACUAUGAGAACUUCAACCUCGUCAAUGUUAAGAUCAUCAAUUUUGAUUGUCUCCCAUCUUGAAGCGGCAAUGCCCUGAUACUGGAAAGGUACCUUGAACCUAUUUGCGUAAUCAGCCAACCGCUUCCCUGUCUCCUCGAUCAUUUUGCAGGGGUGGAAACCUGACAGGGGAACGUCUAUACCUGUGAUCCGAAGCUUAGGGGCUCCCUCCUCUCGCUGUGCAAAAAUCUGAAUCAUUAAUGGCCACUGAAAGCCAAAGCCGAUGCCGAAAUCAACGAUGUGUACCCUUGGUUUCCCUUGUGAGACAUCAAGAAUAGCUUGGUUGGCAAAAUAGUAUGACGCCCUUCCGAAAGGGAAAGCUGCAAGAAAAAGGCUAUAAGCCUCUAACCAAUCUGCGGUACUUGUUUGCCUUUCCACGAGGUUGCGGUAAACCUGACUCCCGGUCCCAGCCAAGCGUGCCUUGAGGCCAUCCGCCAAGUAAAAUGCCAGUCUCUGAGUACAAUCACCAUCUGCUGAAGAGUGUUGCCUUAUCUUCAAUAGCAGUUCACUGGCCAACAGGUAGCUGUGUUCUGCCACAGCUUGUGCGCAGUGGAUUAGGAGAGUCCUGAGAUCAACCAACUCUUUCCUCGGUUGCUUCCUACUUCUGCUCCGGCCUUUCAGAGAGGUCUUGUUUCCUUCCCCCGCCAUCCUUUCUCGCAGUCUUGUUAUUCGGUCAGAACGAUCAUAGCAUAGCAGAACUUGGUCAAAAUUUUCAUUUCGAAUUAUUGCACAAGUGGUGAUGGCAUGAUGUUCAUUGCUCCUUCUUUGAAAGAUAUCCCAACCCCUUGGGUCUGCCACCUCAAAGAUUGUGUUUUCGGUCCUCUCUCCUACUUUUGCCUUCGUAGUCAGUUGGGAAAUAUAAAGUAUGUUAUUCUUUGAAUAUAUCACCAGCUUAUCAAUACUUGGAGCAAACAUUCUUUCCUGCCUGACACCUCUCUGACCAUGCAAGGCAAGGAAGCCAGAUCCGGAAGUCCAUCCAACACUUAUCAACGGCUGGUUUGGUAAAAAAGGACUCCUAUUGCAUAUAUAUGGACUCAACGGGGUUGCUAAAGGUUGCAACAUGUUGUAACUGGAAUAGUCAUUACUGAAGCUAGUGCUCCAGACCCUCUUGUAACGACUGGUCCCACUCUUAUCAGGGUUGUCUGGUUUGUUGUUGCUAUUCAAUGGCGGCCAGUUAGUAGGCGGUGUGCAUACCUCACCAAGAAUGUCACGGAAUGGCUUCUCAGCAGCCUGAAGAGCAGCCCCUUGGCAUAUGUCGACCUCGUCAACGUCUUCCAUCAGCAUCUGGCUUAUGUAGUGAAGAGCAUCGUUUGAUCUGAUCCGGUGGUGCUCAGGGCUACUCCCUGCAGCAAUCUGAAAUUUGUUUUGUCCAUGGCUGCUGUUGACACUUACUUGGUUGGCUGGGGAGAGAACUGUUGAGUGUGGACAACUCAGGUCGUAGUUGUACACGGUGAGUUGCUGCUGGGAAGAGGAAUCACCAUAUGGUUGGUUGGUUGCUGCGAGGGUGUCCAGAUUAUCACGGAGAGGUUCAAUUGCCAUUGUGGAAAGUCUGAUUUCCACCUCAAUACGAGAUAUAUGGUUCUUGUUUGUCCCACAGCAAAUGAACCGGCUUGUUUCCUGGAAGGAGAAAAAGGGAAAUGCAAGCUAAAUUAUUUAUUAGAGAUUCAGCUUAUGAUUGUUUUGGCAUGUCAUACUGGUUGAAAAAUAAAAUCCGAAGGCUUGCAGACACGAGAACAGCUAUUUUAGCCGGUUAAACAUAGAAUGUUUAAGCAUCAAUAACAGAAACAGCGUGAAAGCGAUUUUGAAUCUACGACGCGCCUAAUACCACUGUUCCUUUUUAUUUGCAGGAGGCUCCUCAUCUGAUCUGAGCAAGUAGCAAAAGUAGGGAAGCACACACCUUGGAUAUUAAGCAGCAGCAGUGGAUCCAAUGCUUUGAGAGAAGAGUAGCGAGGAUAAGUAGUGAGGUUGUAGUGUUGAUUUGAACUAAAUUUGUCGUUCCUGUACCUUCUGGCUUUGUUUCCAACGUCAUAAGAUUGUGACAGAGAAUGGUCCAGAUUACUAUGGCUUUGUUCCCAACGUUGAUUAGUUCUAGGCCCGGCCGAGCAUCAGACCUAUAAAAAAGGGUUUAUUAGGAGCGCUGGACUGGUUUUCAAUCAUUAUUAAGGUUCCUAAUUGAACUGUUAAAAAAUCCGAGGUAAUCGAAAAAAGGAGAUGCACUAUUCAAAGAAUGUUCUUCUUUCUUUUCCACUUGAUAAUUGAUAUAUAUAUAAUGGUAUUGGUUGAAUCUUUUUUAGGAUAAUUUGUUGUACUUUAUCUCAUUAAAACAAUCAGUUUUUUUGUGAUUAUCUUAAUUCAAAAUUAAAUUGUUG